rnacentral:lncRNA from 1 species
UUCAAUUCACCGUGAAGAAUGACAUCUUUUCCACCGCCUGUGGACUGGGGGACGUACUUGAACUUGAACUAGAACACUGUGAGCUAACUUAAAGCCGUUAACACCGAGGCUAGCCACUUUUUCUUACGUUUGUAGCUGAUUUUGUAUCUCACACACGGACUCGGGCACGGCUGUAGCUGCUAAAUAAACCACCAUAAACAACGAAGCGCAACACACCACCAAUGGUGCUUAAAAUGGCGAAAACUUGUUCACACAGUCCCUGAUUCACCUGGGUUCUUUCAAACAGCUUCUCAAUCAGACUUCCCACAGAAUUUUGAAGAUGAAAGGAGAGUCUUAUUCUUGACAGGAUGAUACAGAGGCUGACCCCAGAGUUCACAGCUGUAAUUGAGAAGUCUCACAGGCACGUGCACACGGGGGCCCAGGAGAGACCACCGCCGCCGCAGUGAGGCCGCUACCUCUCCAGAAAGAGGCAGUGAAAGGUAUGUGGAAAAAAUAUUUAAAACGUAUGAUAAAAUUAUUAUUUUUUUUAUCUUUCUUUUUUAGUAAUGCCUUAUGUUUCACUUAACCUCUUUAUAUGAAAUAUUCAGCACUACAAAAUGCAGGCAAAUGCCACACAUUCACCCUUGAUGCUGAACAUUAAAAGUUAAUUAGAUGCUCACCCUUAAAGUUUUAUAGCUG